CUGUUGCAGGACCCUCCGACCAAAUGCUGCUCUGGCAGCUUCAUGUUCAUCCAACUUGUAAUGCCUUGAAAAUGUAAAAGGCGACGACCAAGUAGCCGCCUUGCAAAUCUCUUCAUGGGACACCGGUGAAGAUAACACAGUGGAAGUGGCUGCCGAUGUAGUUGAGUGCGCCAUAAUCUGACCAGGCACUGAAAGUUUCUGGGCUUCAUACAACAUCGUAAUGCAUGAAUGAACCCAUCGAGCAAUAAUGGCUGAAGAGACCUUGCAUCCCAUCUUGGAGCCUUAAAGGCCACAAAAAGAGCAUCUGACUUACGAAAAGCCUGCGUCCGGUUGCACUCCUUCUCUGCAGGGUGACGAGCAUCCGGACAAAAAGAAGGUAAUUAAAUGACCGCCUCACGAUGAAACUGAGACUUUACCUUAGGGAUAAACGAAGGAUCCGGGAUAAGUCUCACAGAGUCCUUAGAGAAAUUACACAAAUUACUCUGAACUGACAGAGCCUGCGAUUCAGAAACCCUCCUGGCUGAUGUUACAGCUACUAAAAAGGCCACCUUCCAGGACAGCAUCUGCAAUGAUACAGAUCAAAGUGGUUCAAAUGGCGGAAACUGCAGACCCCACAACACAAUAUGCAAAUCCCAUGACGGGAAACGAUGGCAGACCAGAGGAGACAACAAAGCUGCCCCCCUCAAGAACUUGCAUAGAAGAGGGUGCCACGCCUGAACAAACGCUGAUGAGGAAACAACAUCUGGAUCAAGCACGCCGCCUGGUGUUUAAGCGUGUUGGGUUUCAGACCAAGCGCAAGGCCAUCCUGAAGAAAACCUAGUAAUCCCCUCGACCUGCACUUGUCCAGCUGCAGGGAGAGCUUUGCCGUCCAGUGCAGAAAACUACGCCAAGUCGAUUGGUAAAUCUUGUUGGCUGAACACUUUCUAGAUGCAAGGAUGGUAAAUCGGACCUCGACACAGCAGAACUGGAUGGUCUGGCAAACUGAGUGGAUGACCUACGGUCAAGUCGACGAUCUCGGAAAACCAAGGCCCUCUGGGCCAAAAAGACGCAAUCAAUAUCAGGGAUGCCCGGAAACCCCGCAGCUUCCUGAGGCAACGGGAGAGCAGCGGCACUGGAGGAAAUGCAUUCAGCAGACACGGAGGCCAUGGCACCGAUAGCGUAUCCGUCUCUUCUGCCGCCAACAUCGGGAAACGUGAGUAAAACCUCUGAAUCUUGGCAUUCUGAGGAUAUGCAAACAAGUCUAUCUGGGGACACCCCAGCUGCUCUGUCAGCCACCUAAAUACUUGAGGGUGUAGGCCCCAUUCUGCCGGCUGGAUCUCCUGCCGUCUUAGCCAAUCUGCCCGAACACUGGAAAUUCUGUUUUCAUGAUGGUCCAGAAUGGAUAUUAAGUUGUUCUGUACACAUUAAGAUAUUCCUUCCCUUCACCAAGGGCGUGAAGGCUCUUAGGGCCAGAAAGACAGCCCACAGCUCGAGCCAGUUUAUGCUAUGGAGCAACUCUUCCACUGACCAAAGCCCCUGGGCAGAACUGUUCCAACAGUGAGCCCCCCAGCCCGAUAGACUGGUGUCUGUCGUGACCAUCACUCUCUCGGGUUCUAUGAACAGCUUGCCCUUGUCUAGGUUCCCCGGGCCGUCCAAUGAAUCGACUUGCGAAGAGACACCUAGAGAGGAAUGUUCUUGUCACGUUUGAGGGCAAUCCUGUGCUGGUAAAGGAGGAAACCCCACUGUAACUGGCGUAGAUGAAAACCUCGCCCAUAGCCGAGACCAUAGCCGCCACCAUGAGACCCAACAAACUUGCUAGACUGAGAAGGCUGGCCCACAGUCUCGAAGCAAUCACACAAGCCAGUGACGUUAAGACCUCCAUCCGAUCCUGUGGCAGAAACAGUUUGCCUACUGAGGUGUCCAUUACCAUGCCCAAAUGACGAAGGCUCUGUGUGGGCAUCAGGUGACUCUUGCCCACAUUUAUCAGAAACCCAUGCGCACGUAACACAGACAUUGAUCUGGACAGAGCUGACUGAACUGCCCCUUCUUGAGCAAGUUGUCAAGGUAACAAUACAGGUGGACCCCCUCAGUGCAUAAAGUGGCCACUAGCAGACUAGAACCUUCAUAAAAACUCGGGUGGCUGAUGAGAGACCAAAAGGAAGGGCUCUGUACUGAUAAUGCCUCCCCAUGUAGCAGAAGUGGAGUAUAUGUCGACUGCGUGGAUGAAUGGGGAUGUGUAAAUAGGCCUCCUGGAGAUCUAUUGAAGUCAUGUAGUCCCCCAUCUGCAAUGCCUCUGAGAUGGUACAAAGGGUUUCCAUCCUGAACCUCCUUUUUAUCACAAAACGGUUGACUGGGCGUAGGUUGAGAACUGCCCUGGCCGAUCCGUCCUUUUUUGGCACCGUAAAAAUCACGGAAUAGAUGCCCUUGCCUCUCUGAAGAGGUGGGACCUCCUCUAUGGCCCCUAUAGCCACCAGAUACUGAAUGGCCAUGGACAACCCCUUGUGCUUUUCCGGUUUCCCAGAUCUAGGGGUAAGGAGGAAUCUGUUUCCUGGGGGGCUGGCCAGCUCCACUUCGUACCCGUGUAGGCUAAUGGAAAGAACCCACCUGUCGAUGGAUUCUUUCCAAACAGGCCAAAUGGCAGACCCCCACUUUGCCUGAGUGGGAGUCAGGACUGCUGCUUGGGGGCCCCGCUGCUGGUUUCCGAGAGACUGAUGGUUCUGCUGAGUGAACCCUUGCCUGCCUUGGCCUCUGGAUCUGUUCCACUGCGAUCGAAAAGGCCUAAAAGGCUCCCUCUGACAAACUGAGGUCUAAAUGCCCUGAAGGUUUGCAUCGGUCUAUGAUUAAAACUCUUGUCCUUCUUCCUAGGAGCUGAUGGCAGAGCCCUGCGGUUAUCCUUAGUUUCAAUGAGGACCUCUUUCAGGGCCUCAUUCCCAAUUAGCUUUCACCCCAGCAUAGGGAACAGCAGCUAAUUUAGCCCUAGACGUAUUAUCAACUUCCAAAAUUUUAGCCCUAUGUUGCGUCUUGCCAGGACACCUGCACUGACCGCACGUGCCGAGAACUGAACACUGUCCAGAGUAGCAUCCGCUGAAAAGGCAGCCGCCCUCUGCAGACGAAGUAGCUUACGCCACAUCUUAGAUUGAUUAGUGGGAGGGUCAUUGGGUAACUCGCCAAUCCACAAGACCGAUGCUCUAGACACCAAGGACACAGUGGUGUCAGCUCUGAUGGCCACUGCUCAAGCCUCGUGCGCCCUUCGCAGUGCAGAUUCUGCUUUUCUGUUUUCUGGCUCCUUAGAAGAGGAGUCCCCAUCCUUGGGUACCACUGUGCUACUAAGUAGGGCCCCGAAGUGAGCAACUGUAAGUGGCACCUUCAGCAAGUCCAGAGUCUCCUCCUCAAAGUUGUACAAUUUGCUAGCCAAUGUCAACAUACGCUUUGGGAGUUGCAAUAGCUGCCCAUUCCUCCUUGAUGGUCUUAGUAAAGCCCUCAGGUAUCACUGAUUUAAUCUGUGGUACCUUAGCCUUAGGCAGCACCAAGGAGCCCUUGGACACAGGAGAGAUCUGUUCCUCUGUAACUGGCUACAGAUCAAGCGCAGCAAUAGCCUGGUUAAUUAGUGGCUGAAAAUCCACCAUAAGAGAGAGCCUCUGACUGUGUAAGUUUGCAGCAGAGUCCUCAAUCAUCUCCCCCUCUUCCGAGGAGGAGGGCCCCUUGUCUGGGUUGCCCAGCAAUGUCUCUGACCCACUGACCCUGGGUCACAAUAGAUCUGGGGAGUCCUCUCCAGACUCAUCUGAAGACCUCCCCCUACGCAAGGGCACAGAGUCCUGGCGUAUAGCCACCCUGGGCUGCUUAGCGGGCACCGUCUCCUCCUGAGAGUCUGAGGACGACACAUGGAUCACAGCCUGCCUUGCAAUGCCUUGCAGGCUUCCGCGCUUUAAGCGCCGCUGCCAGUGAGACCUGAAUGGCCUCCUGAAUCCAGCCCUUUGCAGAGCAGCAUCAGGGGGAACCCCCACAUUCCCUGUAGGAGUAGGCCCUGAGGGAGGGGCCACAUAGGGGGCAUCUGCACUCACCUCCUCCCCCCCGAGCAAGUCCCGAUCUUACCGGGGGGAGCUGUUCAUGGCCUUCUGGGUGCUCCGACGCCCCAUCCACGGGCUCAGCACCGCCUGCCUCAUCAUCCUGCACGUCUUCCCCGUCUGAUUCCGACAGGCUCUGGGGCGGCCACUCCUGCUGACGUUCCUUUCAGCGUGGCCCCAAUACUCGCUGAGGCAGUCCUCCUCCUGCACGCCCAACUGCUAGGGAAAGGAGUUGGGGGGGGGGGGGCGAGGCCAAACAUCACAGGCUUACCUUGCUCGCGCUGCCAGGCGAAAGCUCUCUCACCAACGGGGCCUCCUUGUCAGGAAGCCUCCGAUUCUGGUGCCGCCACCUGCGUCCUGCUACGGUGGAUUGCUGGUGGCAUGAAUUGCGCCCAGUCUCCUCACCGGUAUCUGGCCACCAACGGGGCCUCCUUGUCAGGAAGCCUCCGAUUCUGGUGCCGCCACCUGCGUCCUGCUUCGGUUGAUUGCUGGUGGCAUGGAUUGCGCCCAGUCUCCUCACCGGUAUCUGGCAACAGAGAGGACCGCUGUGGCCUACAGGCGCCAGCAAGGUCAUCUGAUACAUCUGCCAUUUUCCUUACAGGAUUUGCGCAGUCCCGAGUUUUUGGCGGGAACAGGCGCUGAUGGGCGGAUCUCUCCCUAAUAGCCAGGAGUCCGAAGGUCUUUUUAGCGGACAUCGGCCAAAAGGUCGGCAAGAGGCGAGGAGAGGUAACGAAUAACAGAAAGGACAGUAGAAGAACAGAUAUGAUUUUUUUUUUUAAAUUUUAAAAUUAUUAUUUUUUUCUUUUUUCUUUAGUAACUAGAGAGAACUAAUAGUAGUAGAAUACCAGGUGAAGAAUAGAUUGGAAAUAGUCAAAAACAAAAGGAAUAUAAGCAGAAGAAAAGAAGAGGCCUAGUUAACUAGGCCAAAGCCAGCGAGCUGUAAUGCGAGCCUUCUGGAGCAAAGGCAGGAAGUAGAACUGAGGAGAUCCGCCCACAUGCACUGGGUUAAGGAUCUUCAAGUAUGACUACUUCCUGCCUUUUGGAGCAUGUGGGGGGAUGUAAUCCCAAGCUUGGGUGACCUCCUACACCAGCCGAGAAACCCAGAAGGAAAGGAUGAAACAGGCAUUAGACAAAGCUAGCAGGUCUGAGACAUGUGACCUGCAGAGAAAAUCUAAGAGCUUUGCAAACCUGUAUAUCUCCUGAAAACAAAAGAAGAGUCCACGUAACCCAGCAUCUGCUUCCCAGUGGAGGCCUACAAGCAGGUCCUUGAAGACAGUAGCCUUGUAGCUGAUUGUCUAGACAUUAGAAAGUCACGUUACUAGGCCUUUUCUGGCUUCUUCCCAAGAAAUGAAUUGAGAAAAACUAAACACCAGAAGCAGCCCUUGCUAGCCUGCAAAUUCUCAUAGAAGACGGGGCUCCUGUGGCUUUCACAGUUGAGCAUGAGGGAGAAUUUGGCAGGCACAGAUCCUCUUACUCCUGCAAUACUAAGACAGGAAAAGCUAUACUUGCUGGAAUUCUAUUUUAAUGGGACAAUCCUCAAUACCAAAAACACGUUCGUAGCAGUGCCAGAAGGGCAGGAAAUCCAGUCUGGGCUGAGGUAACUGAAGCCGAUCGCGAAGCUGCAGGCACACCCACCCACACCUUGCAGGAAACUCUGAAAGGAAUGCCACUGCCUGGAUGGGCUGAAGGGCAGCCUCAGAAAUGACUUACCACAGCUACCUCCAGAGAGAUCCAAGAGAAACAAGGCUGACCUAGAAGGAAAUGAGGAGGAAUAACUAAAAGGAAACUUGUCUGCCACCACCAUCCACACUUCAUGCCAGUCCUACAAUGAAUCAGACAUAUUACUAUUAGAGAUGUGCACGGAGCCAGUUCAGAGGCCCUUUACGUUGGGAGGACACGAGAGCGAGAGUGGCGUGCAUGCACAUUUGCGCUGGGUACUUCCUUUUACUUCCGACCGAGGACGACACUGGGGCGGCAGGGAGCACCUCCUGUUUCUGCCCCAUUUCCAAGUGGUGGGUGAGAACAGCCUUGAGCCUCCCGGUAGGUGACCCUUGGAUCAGCAGUCUGUGGCAUAAGAGACAGGAGGAGGAGACAGCAUGAGUAGAAGAGCACGCUCAGAGAGCUGGCAUGCCAACAGGGGUAACUGAGACAACUGCUUUGCCAUCAUCACGGUGCAGGACAUACUGGCGGCUGAACUGCAGCUGUUGCCGGCGACCCAGAUCAGGUUGGCACCACUCUGCAGGAGAGGAGGAAGCAGGCAAAGACACACUAUAAAACAGGAUAAGAACAAUCUGUCAGAGAUGCUACAGCAGAUUCCACCACUGAGCAAGGGACUGGAGUAGAAGACUGUCAAGGUUACUUCCAGUUUUAUGACUUUGAUUCUGAUGGCAGGAAAGAAGUAAAUAAGAACAGAAACUGUCAUGUGGGCAAUUAUCACUAAUCCCCCAGCCAUGAUCAGCUGGAAGCCAUAAAACAGACAAGACCUACCAACAAUAAACAAAGAUGUGCUCAGUAUCAGAUACCAAUAAGGCUGCAAAAGUAGACUUUGGCUACUUUGCAGCCUGUUUCUAAACUGGCCUACGGAUUCCAGUUCUUCCAAGUAAAUAUGCCUAGGGUUUGAAACCUUAGGGCCCUGAAUAUCUGAAGGACUACCUGCUCCCAAAGGUUUCUGCCCAACUGACCAGAUCAUCAGAUGCCGAUGGUGAGAGAGCCUUGGUUGUCAAGCACGCGGGACAGGGCCUUCUCAGUCACUGCCCCAAGGCUUUGGAAUGCUCUCCCGGCUGAAAUCCGCUCCUCAGACUCCUUGACAAUUUUUAGGAAAAAAGUAAAGACAUGGCUCUUCACCCAUGCUUUUGAAUGAGAGUAUUUUUUACUGCUGCUGCUUUGUGUUAUGUAUUAUUAUUAUUUAUGAGUUAUUAAAUUUUUAUAUAGAGAUUAUUUUUAUAUUUAUAUUAUCUGUACUUUUGUAUUAUAUAUUUUAAUUUUUGAGAUCAUCUGUAACUUUUUAAUUUUAAUUAUGCACUAGCUGGCCCAGGCGCAGAGCAUCUACCCUUAUAGUUGUCCCUCCCCCCCAGCUCUUGGCCCUCCCGGCUACCACUUCCUCCCCCCGCCCCGCCUUCCUCCCCACCAGCUGCUGCUGCUUUCUCCCCCGCCUGCCUCCUUCUUUCCCCUCCACUGCCUUCUCUCCACCUCCUGGCAGCAAACUCGUGAACUCUCAUGAGAUCUGCCAUGCACAGGAUUAGCCACGGGUACAUCUUAGCGAAUUAUAUAUAGAUUGUUUUAAUCAUAUUGUAAACUGCUUUGAAAUUAUUUUAAUGGGAAAAGGUAUAUAAAUUGAACAAUAAAUAAAUAAACAAAUUACACAUUCAGCAUGUAACUGGCCUUUGAGUGCUUGGUUUUUGCUUCC